rnacentral:rRNA from 1 species
CAAAAGCGUAUAUUAAAGUUGUUGCAGUUAAAAAGCUCGUAGUUGAACCUUGGGCUUGGCUGGCCGGUCCAUCUUUUUUGAUGCGUACUGGACCCAGCCGAGCCUUUCCUUCUGGCUAGCCUUUUGGCGAACCAGGACUUUUACUUUGAAAAAAUUAGAGUGUUCAAAGCAGGCCUUUGCUCGAAUAUAUUAGCAUGGAAUAAUAGAAUAGGACGUUAUGGUUCUAUUUUGUUGGUUUCUAGGACCAUCGUAAUGAUUAAUAGGGACGGUCGGGGGUAUCAGUAUUCAGUUGUCAGAGGUGAAAUUCUUGGAUUUACUGAAGACUAACUACUGCGAAAGCAUCUACCAAGGACGUUUUCAUUAA